AUUGAACGCUGGCGGCAGGCCUAACACAUGCAAGUCGAGCGGAUGAAGGGAGCUUGCUCCUGGAUUCAGCGGCGGACGGGUGAGUAAUGCAUAGGAAUCUGCCUGGUCGUGGGGGAUAACGUCCGGAAACGGGCGCUAAUACCGCAUACGUCCUGAGGGAGAAAGUUGGGGUUCUUCGGACCUCACGCUAUCAGAUUAGCCUAGGUCGGAUUAGCGAGUUGGUGGGUAAAGGCCUACCAAGGCGACGAACCGUAACUGGUCUGAGAGGAUGAUCAGUCACACUGGAACUGAGACACGGUCCAGACUCCUACGGGAGGAAGCAGUGGGGAAUAUUGGACAAUGGGCGAAAGCCUGAUCCAGCCAUGCCGCGUGUGUGAAGAAGGUCUUCGGAUUGUAAAGCACUUUAAGUUGGGAGGAAGGGCAGUAAGUUAAUACCUUGCUGUUUUGACGUUACCAACAGAAUAAGCACCGGCUAACUACGUG
rnacentral:rRNA from 1 species